CAUGAAAUGAGCUUUGAACUUGCUGUGGAAAGAUCUGGGGCUCUAUUCAGGAAUGUUGUUGCUGUUACAUGAACGAGAGGCCACUUAAAAUAGCUCAGGGAAAAUGAGCUUGGUGGUGAGGACAGCAGGCUCUCGCAGGAAUGGAACAGGACCUGAAACACACCUAUAUUUGCUCUGGAAUGGAAGUCAACCUCCGGCGUAAACUAGAAUCCUUCAAGAGCCAGGUGAGGAUACAGGCAGAAGGGGUGACCCAGAAGAGAACUCCUGCCAGAACCCAAACAUGCUGACACCCUGACCUCAGACUUCCAGCCUUCAGAACUUUCCGGAGGCUAUAAAUCCAAAACCAUGCUGUCAGCAGGACCACGUUCUCUCGGAAGGCUCUACAAAGAAUCCGUCCUUGCCUCUUAGAGCUUCUGGCGGCUGUCGACAAUGCUUGGCAUUCCUUGGCUUGUACAUGCAUCACUCCAAUCUCUGCCUCUGUCUUCACAUGGCCGUCUUCCCACUGUGUCUCUGUCUAUCUCAGUGUUUCUUCUCCUCUUCUUAUAAGGAUACCUGUCAUAUUGGGUUUAGAUCCACCUCACUCCAAUAAGACCUAAUUUUAAUUAAUUAUACGUGCAAAGAGCCUAUUUCCAAAGAAAGCCCCAUUCACAGGAAAAGCAGAGCGGGGGAAAUGGGUGGCGUCUUGGUGCUACGGCUGCUUCCAGUUCUUAGUUUGUCGUCUUUAGCCUGGAAAAGAAGAGACUUCACGAGAACAUGACAAGGUGGUCACAUCCCUAAUGGGCUGUCGCGUAGUGGGAGGUGGAUCGCGCACACGCUACGUAACUCCAGGCAGAACUUCGAUGAAUCAGAAAGGUGUUCUCGAAGCAUGGAAAGAAAGACAUUUCUACACUGUCACAGAUCUCUGGGUGGACACAGGGCAUCAUGGGCCUCCCGAUACUCUUCCAACAGCUGACUCUCUCAGCUGCCACUGAUAGACACCCAACUCACACUGAUGAAACAAAAAAGAAAAUUUGCUUAUUCACCGAACUGGAAAAUCCAGGGCCCUUCAGCCUUCAGAUUAUAACUGGAUCCAGGGGCUCAAAUAUGCGCACCCCAGAGAAGGAUGGUGCAUCCCCAGACAAUCUGUGUGGACAAAGAAAGCUAUGGUUCCCCAAGGGCAAAGGCUGCAAGAAUAAUGGAUAAAGCAUUGAGGAGAGGUGGCCUUGGGUCUCUAACUUAACUGAGCAUAAUCAUCAUCUGGAAAGACAGUGAUGGACACAAAUAUGUGGGCCCUCCCUUCAGGCAUUCUAAUUCAUUGAUCUUAGAAUCCCAAUGGAGAAUUUGCAUUUUUAGCGAGUGUCCUUUCUUGUUUUAUAGAACUGUUUGAGUGUUAAAUGAGAUAAUUUAUGUGAGACUCCUUUGUUAAAUGUCAUGGAAAUGUUAACAAUCAUUCAUCUAGUCUACAGUGAAUUUGCCAAAGUCAACUAUAUGUGAAUUUGCCAGUAUCAUGGAAAACAUCAGUGGCAGAGCCAAGGGGCGGGUCUCCAGAGCUUCAAGCCAGAGUUCUUUCCAGUGCUCUAUACAAUACCGUGCUG
rnacentral:lncRNA from 1 species